rnacentral:rRNA from 1 species
AAGGGGCAGUAAGGCAUGGGUACCUACCCGGGGAUCGGGCAUAGCCUGUCGAGAGACAGGGUAAUUCCCGAUGACGUCGCAAGACCAAAGCUCCGGCGUCCCUGGAGGGGCCCAUGUGGUAUUAGCUAGUUGGUGGGGUAACGGCCCACCAAGGCGAAGAUGCCUAGCGGGUGUGAGAGCACGACCCGCGCCACUGGCACUGAGACACUGGCCAGACACCUACGGGUGGCUGCAGUCGAGGAUCUUCGGCAAUGGGCGCAAGCCUGACCGAGCGAGGCCGCGUGGGCGAUGAAGGCCUUCGGGUUGUAAAGCCCUGUCGAGGGGGAGAAAGGGGAAACCUUGAUCUAUCCCUGGAGGAAGCACGGGCUAAGUUCGUGCCAGCAGCCGCGGUAAGACGAACCGUGCGAACGUUGUUCGGAAUCACUGGGCUUAAAGGGCGCGUAGGCGGGCUAUCAAGUCCGGGGUGAAAUCCUCCAGCUCAACUGGAGAACGGCCUCGGAUACUGAUGGCCUCGAGGGGGAUAGGGGCACGCGGAACUGUGGGUGGAGCGGUGAAAUGCGUUGA